rnacentral:rRNA from 1 species
UACGUAGGGGGCAAGCGUUGUCCGGAUUUACUGGGCGUAAAGAGCGUGUAGGCGGCCUGACAGGUCUGCUGUGAAAACUCGAGGCUCAACCUCGAGAUGUCGGCGGAAACCGUCUGGCUAGAGUCCGGAAGAGGAGAGUGGAAUUCCUGGUGGUAGCGGUGAAAUGCGCAGAUAUCAGGAAGAACACCUAUGGCGAAGGCAG